rnacentral:lncRNA from 1 species
GCUGACAUGAGUCAGCUAGCUAGCUUCGCAUGUCUGUUACAGGCAUCUCUUCCUGUGUGAUGGAGGUAGAAGAGGUUGAACCACCUGAUGAGGUUACGGACAGGAGAUGUCCUUAAUCUUCUCAAUGAGGCUUUCAAAGUAACACAGUGGACAGAGCUCUGGGCCUGGAGUCAGGAAGACCUGAAUUCAAUCUGGCCUCUGACAGUUACUAGCUGUGUGACCCUGGGUAAGUCACUUAACCCUAUGUGCCUCAGUUUCCUCAUCUAUAAAAUGGGGAUAGUGAUA